AUUGAACGCUGGCGGCAUGCCUUACACAUGCAAGUCGAACGGUAACAGGUCUUCGGAUGCUGACGAGUGGCGAACGGGUGAGUAAUACAUCGGAACGUGCCUAGUAGUGGGGGAUAACUACUCGAAAGAGUGGCUAAUACCGCAUGAGAUCUACGGGUGAAAGCAGGGGAUCGCAAGACCUUGUGCUACUAGAGCGGCCGAUGGCAGAUUAGGUAGUUGGUGGGAUAAAAGCUUACCAAGCCGACGAUCUGUAGCCGGUCUGAGAGGACGAUCAGCCACACUGGGACUGAGACACGGCCCAGACUCCUACGGGAGGCAGCAGUGGGGAAUUUUGGACAAUGGGCGCAAGCCUGAUCCAGCAAUGCCGCGUGCAGGAUGAAGGCCUUCGGGUUGUAAACUGCUUUUGUACGGAACGAAAAGCCCUGGGUUAAUACCCUGGGGUCAUGACGGUACCGUAAGAAUAAGCACCGGCUAACUACGUGCCAGCCGCCGCCGUAAUAC
rnacentral:rRNA from 1 species